CGCCGAGGCAGCUGGACACCGUACCACAAGUUGUCACAUGAACCAACUGACCACAGCCCGCCGUGCGCAAGCUUCAGGCAGUGCCUCGGCAUACAUCCCAAGUAUGCCACAUCAAGCGAUCGGGCACCCAUCUGAUGCUUGAAACGGUCCAAAGCUUCUUGGGAGAUACUUCUGAAGCCUCAAAGUUCCUUUCCAGACCAAAGGUAGAGCAGUCGGAGCACUACACCUUUCUCCCGCAGAAGUUUGAGAUAAGGGGCCAUGUCCAUUGAAUGUGGAGGGGAGAAGUACGUGGAGACAAGUGGACAACCACAUCUUGCAAGACAGGAGUGGCUGUAUGGACAAACAAGUACUGAUUGUUGGAGACCCAUGGAGCACUAAAGACCUGCUUGUUGGGUAACUGGCUCAUCAGACACCAGGAGCUUGUCCCAGCUGUCAUGACAUAUCCCCUGGUCAGGUGCUCCAGCAAUAGUACAAGUCAGAAAAACAGACUGCAGUGAUAUUGAGGAUGUGCUCUUUGAUAGUGAUGAUGUCCCAGCAAUACAGAGGGACUAUGCCGCUUUCAACAAGGAGAUUCUCGACCUUCGGCAAACAUUAAAUACAUGUAUCUUGGUUUCCAAAACUACCGAGUGAAACUGGAAGGUUGAUGAUGCAUUUGACAUGAGGGAGAAAGCUGGAAAAACCAUGAAGGGCAUAUAUUCACUGAUAUCUUGAAGCUUGUCGGGACGAUUGAGGACCAAGCUGACAGGACUACAGUGAGAAAGCAUCUAUGCUGUUCUACUGACACCAUUGUGCUGUCUUGGGAGGGAGCCGGCAGAUAGACCACGCCCAGCCAUUCCACUUUGUCACUCAUCUGGUGGUCACAAAAGGACAGUAUUCAGGUUGACGGGGUGUACUGAUGAACGAUUGACUGACGGAGCAGGAAAUUCAUUGAGGCAGU